rnacentral:lncRNA from 1 species
UAGGGUUGGGCUAAAAAAUCCUUAGGAUAAGAUAGAUUGAUACCUGGGGAUUGACCGUUUGUGAGACAGGGUUGAAAUCAAACCUUUGGCCACUAAAACGACGGCCUAGGGCAAAAUAGGAUUUCAUUCAAAGAUCGGAGAUUAGGAUUUGAGAUCUAGCUUGAAGUUCUUUCUAGAGACAUAAGAGUUUUUUGGAGGGAGUUUUUGAAGACUUAGCAAUUUUUGUUCAAAGUUAGGGUUUGUAUCAGUGAUUUGGGUUUUAUACAAUAUAACUAGGGCUAGCAAUUUUGGCUAG